rnacentral:rRNA from 1 species
UACGUAGGGGGCAAGCGUUGUCCGGAUUUAUUGGGCGUAAAGAGCGUGUAGGCGGCCAUGUAGGUCCGUUGUGAAAACUCGAGGCUCAACCUCGAGACGCCGAUGGAAACCAUGUGGCUAGAGUCCGGAAGAGGAGAGUGGAAUUCCUGGUGUAGCGGUGAAAUGCGCAGAUAUCAGGAAGAACACCCGUGGCUAAGGCGGCUCUCUGGGCCGUAACUGACGCUGAGGAGCGAAAGCAUGGGGAGCGAACAGG